rnacentral:rRNA from 1 species
CACCGGCGUCACAAGUGGGAAUCGCAUAUUGGGUCUAAAGCGUUCGUAGUUGGCUUAGUAAAUCUCUUGUGAAAUCGUUUCGCUUAACGGAACGGCGUGCGGGAGACACUGCUUAGCUUGGAACCGGGAGGGGUAAGAAGUAUUCCUGAGGAGCGGUAAAUAGUGAUAAUCUCAGGAGGACUACCUGUGGCGAAGGCGUCUUACUAGAACGGGUUCGACAAUCAGGAACGAAGGCCAGGGGAGCAAACCGG